rnacentral:rRNA from 1 species
GGAGGUAGUGACAAUAAAUCACAAUGCGGGACUUUUAGUUUUGCAAUUGGAUUGAGAACAAUGUAAAAGAGUUAUCGAUAAACAAUUGGAGGGCAAGUCUGGUGCCAGCAGCCGCGGUAAUUCCAGCUCCAAUAGCGUAUAUUAACGUUGUUGCAGUUAAAAAGCUCGUAGUUGAAGUGUGGGGUGAAAGAAUGUGUGUUCAUUUUGAAUGUGCGUUUGGUCACCCCCUCUCCAAUGUGUUAUUAUGGGUAUUAAUUUACUUGUAAUAGCUAUUGGUCAUUUACUGUGAGAAAAUUAGAGUGUUCAAAGCAGGCAUUUGCUUGAAUAUAUUAGCAUGGAAUAAUAGUAAAAGGCUUUUGUGGUCGAUUUAAUUGGUUUGUUCAUGAAAGCAAGAUUAAUAGGGACAGUUGGGGGUAUUCAUAUUCAAUAGUUAGAGGUGAAAUUCUCGGAUUUAUGGAAGAUGAACAAGUGCGAAAGCA